ensembl:snRNA U4 U4 spliceosomal RNA
AGCUUUGCGCAGUGGCAGUAUUGUAGCCAAUGAGGUUUAUCUGAGGCGCGAUUAUUGCUAACAGAAUCAACCAAGAUAUGAUGACAUUCUUUUCUAUUUUUGAUUACACAGAUCAAAAUAAAAGUGGUAACUAUGGUAUAG